rnacentral:rRNA from 1 species
CAGCAGCCGCGGGAAUACGAAGGGGGCUAGCGUUGCUCGGAAUGACUGGGCGUAAAGGGCGCGUAGGCGGCGAUCAAAGUCAGGCGUGAAAUUCCUGGGCUCAACCUGGGGGCUGCGCUUGAUACUUGGUUGCUUGAGUGGGGAAGAGGGUCGUGGAAUUCCCAGUGUAGAGGUGAAAUUCGUAGAUAUUGGGAAGAACACCGGUGGCGAAGGCGGCGACCUGGUCCUUGACUGACGCUGAGGCGCGAAAGCGUGGGGAGCAAACAGGAUUAGAUACCCGUGUAGUCCCUGUCUCUUAUAA